rnacentral:lncRNA from 1 species
AUGAAAGGACUCUUCCCUUUUCCAAAAGAAGAACUCAAAAAACAAGGUUCAUCUCUUACAAAUCUCAAAGCCAUGCCUAAGGAUGAACUAGAGUGUGCCCUUACAGGGAUCAGUGUCGUUCAAGGAUGUGACUGUGGACUUCACCCAGGAGGAGUGGCAGCAACUAGACCCUGCUCAGAAGGCCCUCUACAGGGACGUGAUGCUGGAAAACUACUGCCACUUCCUUUCUGUGGGUAAGGGAACACUCCUUGAAUCUUUCAGUGUCAUGCAACUCCUUUCAAGAAUCCCUGAAACAUGUGGAACAGUACAUUUCAG